rnacentral:ncRNA from 1 species
AUCAGGGGUGCUGCAUUUUUUGAUGCGGCUGAGAACAGACCCUAUGAAUCUGAACCGGGUAAUGCCGGCGUAGAGAGUAUGAACUU